GUCAACUACCUCUCCCUGAAGGGAGAGGCUUGUAACGCAAGCCAGGUUGACCAGGGAAAGCAGUAAACAACCCGCUACGUUGGCAAUAGGUCGCCAAGACCCACCCCACCGUGCUUCCUCAGCGGUGGGCUCUGGA
rnacentral:sRNA from 1 species